GGAGGGAAUUUUGUCCAAUGGGCGAAAGCCUGAGACAGCAACGCCGCGUGUGGGAUGAAGGCCCUCGGGUCGUAAACCACUGUCGGAAGGGAAGAACAACCUGGCGGGUAAUAUUCGCCGGGCCUGACGGUACCUUCAGAGGAAGCACCGGCUAACUCCGUGCCAGCAGCCGCGGUAAUACGGAGGGUGCAAGCGUUGUUCGGAAUUACUGGGCGUAAAGCGCGUGUAGGCGGUCGGGCAAGUCGAAUGUGAAAUCCCCGGGCUCAACCCGGGAAUUGCAUCCGAAACUGCUUGGCUAGAGUCCCGGAGAGGAAGGCAGAAUUCCCAGUGUAGGGGUGAAAUCCGUAGAUAUUGGGAGGAAUACCAGUGGCGAAGGCGGCCUUCUGGACGGUGACUGACGCUGAGAUGCGAAAGCGUGGGGAGCAAACAGG
rnacentral:rRNA from 1 species